AUGCCAGGUUAGAAUGGGUGUUCUCACAUCACUUAGAAAGGGCCACUUGGAAUGGAUGGAGCAGGUUUCUGCAGUGACCCCCCCUGAGGAAAAGUGGCAAAAUAAGAGCAGUGUCCAGGAAGGCACGGCGCAGCCGUGGAAGGGGAGGAGCGUGCGCCUUGACACCCAGGCUGCCUGUGGCCAAGGCACGCAGGACUGUGCUGCGCAGAGCAGGAAAAGGCAGUCUCGCUGUCGGGUCCCUAAAUCCCCAUCCCAUUAGCCAGGUGCCAAGAGUGAAACCUGCAAAAGGACCCUGGUUAAAUCACCGGGCGGCCACGCCACCGGCGCCCAGCGCUAAUCCCUGGGGGCCGGCAGCCUUUUUUUUUUUUUUUUUUGGUCACACGGCAGGAAGAAGAAGCUUGCUCUGGGAGCAGCUGCCACCUGCUGACAAGCAGCGGGUUGUUAUAGGGCAGAAGGGCUGGGUGGAGCCACAGAAAAUCACUGCCAUUCCUCUGGUUUCAACAGACCUGCACCAGUGACACUUUCCUGGGAUUCCUGCAGAGAGGGAGCCUCGUCUGCAACUGGUUUCAUUCCAUCAGCCCAGAAGUGAGAAAUGGAGUAUUUCCUGCCAUAGGAAUAAACAAGGAUGCCACAGUCAUCAGUGAUUUCGGCCUUCGAUAUGUGAAUUUCUGAGCCUGGAGGGCGCCCGGGAAAAACACCACCUGUGAACCAGUAGCCAUCAGGCUGCCACCACUCCCUCCGUUCUCUCAGGCCACUUUGAGAUGCUGUUUCACCUGGAUUUGAAGACCUAAAAAUUCUCACCAAAUAAAACAUAACU